GGAGGGAUGGCUCAGUGGUUAAGAGCACUGGCUGCUCUUCCAGAGGACCUGGGUUCCUUUCCCAGGCCCUAUG
rnacentral:tRNA from 1 species